GGACAGUACAUGAUAGCAGAGGACCAUCGUCAGUGACAGUGUCCUGAAUGUUGUUGACGCCCUGAUGCUGAUGUUUGCAGCAUAUUACUGCCUCAACAUCAGUUAUCGCUCAGAACUGGGAGCUACCCUGGAGUUCUUGCAGAGGUGCCUAUUCAAGAUCAAUCCGGACAAUGGGACUAGAGUGGAGAGGAAGGAAUACAAACAAAAACAGCACUCGAUAAAGAUAAAGAUUUCAUGAAGUUUGCUGACGACACGACCGUCAUCGGCC